rnacentral:rRNA from 1 species
CGUGAGUGAUGAAGGCUUUCGGGUCGUAAAGCUCUGUCAAGUGGGAAGAACCUAUAUAAUGUUAAUACCAUUAUAUAUUGACGGUACCACUGAAGGAAGCACCGGCUAACUCCGUGCCAGCAGCCGCGGUAAUACGGGGGGUGCAAGCGUUAUUCGGAAUCAUUGGGCGUAAAGAGCACGUAGGCGGCCUGGUAAGUCAGAUGUGAAAGCCCGGGGCUUAACCUCGGAAGUGCAUUUGAUACUGCCAGGCUUGAGUAUGGGAGAGGGAAGUGGAAUUCCUGGUGUAGAGGUGAAAUUCGUAGAUAUCAGGAGGAACACCGGUGGCGAAGGCGACUUUCUGGACCAAUACUGACGCUGAGGUGCGAAGGCGUGGGUAGCAAACAGGAUUAGAUACCCUGGUAGUCCACGCAGUAAACGUUGAUCACUAGGUGUAGCGGGUAUUGACCCCUGCUGUGCCGCAGUUAACGCAU